CAGGUGAUGGGGAAGUCGUCUCCUAACAAUAACUGUUACUCGUGCAAGCUCUGAGGAAAAGAGGACAUGUCGUUGCGGUUACUGGAGAUGGAACUGGCGAUGCCCCUGCUUUACAUGAGGCGGAUAUCGGUCUUGCUAUGGGUACUCAAGGCACUGAAGUAGCAGAAGAGAGUAGUGACAUCAUCAUAUUGGACGAUAACUUUGCUUCGGUUGUUAGGGAGGUUGAAAAGAGGUGAACAGCUGGGUUGAAAAGAGGGAAUAGUGGUCAACAAUGGUCAGAAGGGUGAAAAGAGGGAACAACUGUCCGAACUCAGCUUGGUUGAAAAGAGGGAACAAUGGUUAACAGUGGUCAGUAUGCUGAAAAGAGGUGAACUGUGGUCAGAAUUCAGCAGUCUGCUGAAAAAAGGUGAACAGUGGUCAGAAUUCAGUCUGUACAUCUACUUUUUUUUUUUCAACUUACAGCUUUUUUUUGGUCAACUUACAGCUGGGUUGGGUUAAAAAGUAGAUGUUUACUUUUUUGACAUUAUAUAUUCAGGUUUAAAAAGUAGAUGUCAAAAGUACAACUACUUUUGACAUUAUAUAUAGUAAAUUUAAGCUUCAUAAACUUCAUCCAACUUUCUACAAACACUACACACCCACCUUCACCUUCAGUUUGCUGCUACAUGGAAUUAACAACAUUUAGAAAAUCAAUUCAACCGUCUAAUUAAUACUAUUUUCAUCUGGGUCUUCCAUUGUUUCUCACCUCUAUACAUUUGAUUCUUGCAUUAUUUCUCUAUUUUUAACAUCUUGGUUCUGCGUUGUGGUAAGUAUUUCUCACAUUUCGACUGUUUAUUUUGUAUGUGUGUUGUACUCUUACAUAGUGAUAACAAUGUUUGAUACACCGAUUGUAAAAAUCUUACACUAUUUUAGUUGUU